ACUCCUGCGGGAGGCAGCAGUGGGGAAUUUUGGACAAUGGGCGAAAGCCUGAUCCAGCAAUGCCGCGUGUGUGAAGAAGGCCUUCGGGUUGUAAAGCACUUUUGUCCGGAAAGAAAUCCUUGGCUCUAAUACAGUCGAGGGAUGACGGUACCGGAAGAAUAAGCACCGGCUAACUACGUGCCAGCAGCCGCGGUAAUACGUAGGGUGCGAGCGUUAAUCGGAAUUACUGGGCGUAAAGCGUGCGCAGGCGGUUUGCUAAGACCGAUGUGAAAUCCCCGGGCUCAACCUGGGAACUGCAUUGGUGACUGGCAGGCUAGAGUAUGGCAGAGGGGGGUAGAAUUCCACGUGUAGCAGUGAAAUGCGUAGAGAUGUGGAGGAAUACCGAUGGCGAAGGCAGCCCCCUGGGCCAAUACUGACGCUCAUGCACGAAAGCGUGGGGAGCAAACAGGAUUAGAAACCCUAGUAGUCCC
rnacentral:rRNA from 1 species